rnacentral:rRNA from 1 species
GACGAACGCUGGCGGCGUGCUUAACACAUGCAAGUCGAACGGAAAGGCCUUUUCGGAGGUACUCGAGUGGCGAACGGGUGAGUAACACGUGGGUGAUCUGCCCUGCACUCUGGGAUAAGCCUGGGAAACUGGGUCUAAUACCGGAUAGGACCGCACUUUAGUGUGUGUGGUGGAAAGUUUUUUCGGUGUAGGAUGGGCCCGCGGCCUAUAAGCUUGUUGGUGGGGUAGUGGCCUACCAAGGCGGUGACGGGUAGCCGGACUGAGAGGUUGGUCGGCCACAUUGGGACUGAGAUACGGCCCAGACUCCUACGGGAGGCAGCAGUGGGGAAUAUUGCACAAUGGGCGGAAGCCUGAUGCAGCAACGCCGCGUGCGGGAUGACGGCCUUCGGGUUGUAAACCGCUUUCAGCAGGGGCGAAGCUUGUUGUGACGGUACCUGGAGAAGAAGCACCGGCUAACUACGUG